rnacentral:tRNA from 1 species
AAAAUCGUAGUUUAAAUAAAAUACUUGAUUUGCAUUCAGGAGACGACCGCCGAUUUUG